UGUUCAAAAAGAAAUUGCUGAAAGUUUAACUGUUUCAGAAAAACUAUUGUGUAGAAACUUUAGAAGAAUUAUUACAGGUGGAAAAGGUAGCAAACCUGUAGCUAUUUUAAUUUCUCCUUUUUUAAACGAGAAAAUUGAGCUGAUGAUUAAAAUAAGGGAAAAAAUAAAAUUAAUUCCAGAACAUAAUAAAUACAUAUUUGCAAAUCCAAAUUCGUCGAAAGGUUGGUUUCAUGGAACAAGUGUAAUUAAACAAUUUGCAAAAAACUGUGGGGCAAAGGAUCCCAACUCUCUAACUUCUACCAAAUUUCGAAAACAGACUGCAACAAUUUUACAGAUUAUGGACAUUAAUAAUACUGACAUGGAACAAUUAGCCAUUUUUAUGGGCCAUACAAAAAAAAACCCAUGAAGAAUGGUAUAGACUUCCUCAAGAUCUAUACCAGACUGCAAAAAUAGCCAAACUAAUGAUCGCUUUGAAUAAAGGUGAUGUUAAUAUUUACAAAGGAAAGAGCUUAGACGAUAUCAAUAUAGAAGAAAAUGACUAAUUGGAAAUUGAAAACAUAGAAACAGAAGUAAAUGAAAUAAAUGAAAAAGAAUUAACAGAGCCUACUCAUUCUUGGAGUCCUAAAAGUAAUUUUAGCGAUGUAACCGACGAAAAGAUUGAACAAGCUAAUAAAAAUGAAAAAGUUUCGUCGAAGGGUAAAAGAAAGUUAUUUACCGAUGAAAUGACGCAUCCAAUGCAAAAUAAUAAAGUUACAAAAAGAAAGGAGGUGCCAACUACUGAAAAAACCGAAAGCACUUCAAAUGCGAUUGCAAGACACCGAUGGACCGAAAAGGACAAACAAACUAUGCUUAAAUACUUUACAAGAUUCAUAAAAGAAAAAAGGGUUCCGAAAAAAGCAGACGUACAGAAAUUUAAAAAAAAUAAAGCUGGAGAAAACUUUCAAUCAAUUGAUUGGGUAAAAAUUAAAACGUUUGUUUACAAUUCUUACAGAGUGUAGUUUUUGUGAAGUUUUUUAUUAAAUAACGUGUUUCUAAA